AGUGAACGCUGGCGGUAGGCCUAACACAUGCAAGUCGAACGGCAGCACAGGAGAGCUUGCUCUCUGGGUGGCGAGUGGCGGACGGGUGAGGAAUACAUCGGAAUCUACUUUUUCGUGGGGGAUAACGUAGGGAAACUUACGCUAAUACCGCAUACGACCUACGGGUGAAAGCAGGGGACCUUCGGGCCUUGCGCGAUUGAAUGAGCCGAUGUCGGAUUAGCUAGUUGGCGGGGUAAAGGCCCACCAAGGCGACGAUCCGUAGCUGGUCUGAGAGGAUGAUCAGCCACACUGGAACUGAGACACGGUCCAGACUCCUACGGGAGGCAGCAGUGGGGAAUAUUGGACAAUGGGCGCAAGCCUGAUCCAGCCAUACCGCGUGGGUGAAGAAGGCCUUCGGGUUGUAAAGCCCUUUUGUUGGGAAAGAAAUCCAGCCGGUUAAUACCUGGUUGGGAUGACGGUACCCAAAGAAUAAGCACCGGCUAGCUUCGUGCCAGCAGCCGCGGUAAGAC
rnacentral:rRNA from 1 species